UGGGCCGGCACGCGACGCCCCCUCCGGGCCAGGUUCCCGCGCCCGAUUUGGUGUUUGGGGGGAGGCGGCGGGAGGGGCGGCGUGCGCGGCGGAAGGGGAAGGGGGAGGGGAAGGGGAGCAGGCUCUCAGCCGUGCCGCAGCCGCUCGGUGAGGACCCGCGAGGCCUCGGCGUCCCGCCUCGGAACAAUGGGACUCGGCGCCCGAGGUUUCCUGACGUUGCUGGCCCUGGGGGUCGUGCUGGGGGUGGCGCUGCUGAAGGUUUUCACGGACAGCGCGGACUCCGAGGGAUCUGUAAGUCAGAAGAAUCUUAUGUCUGUAGAAAAUUCCAAUGAUAACCAACAAGGAACUGCAGACAAUGAUUCUAAAUCUCCAGAAAACUCCAAGGAUAACCAAGGAGGAUCUUCAAGCCAGAAUAAUCCUCAGUCUGAAAGAAACUCCAAUGGUAACAACCAAGGAGGACCUCCAAAACAGCAGAAUCUUCAGUCUGCAGGAAACUCCAAUGAUAACCAAGGAGGAUCUCCAAACCAGAAUAAUGGUCAGUCUGAAGAAAAGCCUGGUGGUCAAAAAGAAGGAUCUCCAAAGCAGAAUAAUCCUCAGUCUGGAGGAAACUCCAAUGGUAACAACCAAGGAGGAUCUCCAAACCAGAAUAAUGAUCAGUCUAAAGAAAAGUCCGAUGGUCACCAAGGAGAUGGAUUUCUUCGUUGAUUUUCUCAACUAACAUGUAAAGAUAGGAGCAGACUGAUGUUAUAAAUAAUAGUACCAUCAACGCAUGUUUCUUCUAAGUGAUAUUUAGUUUAUCUUCUCACUGCCUUUAUUAAGAGUGACAGAGGUAGAAACUUAAAAAAGGCACACAAAUCCUAUCACUGGACCCAUAUUUUCUACUUUUAUUCAACAAGUAUUUAUGAGUGUCUUUAAUGUGUGGAGUACGUCAUGAGAAACGCUGGACUGGAAGAAACACAAGCUGGAAUCAAGAUUGCCAGGAGAAAUAUCAAUAACCUCAGAUAUGCAGAUGAUACCACCCUUAUGGCAGAAAGUGAAGAGGAACUAAAAAGCCUCUUGAUGAAAGUGAAAGUGGAGAGAGAAAAAGUUGGCUAAAAGCUCAACAUUCAGAAAACGAAGAUCAUGGCAUCCGGUCCCACCACUUCAUGGGAAAUAGACGGGGAAACAGUGGAAACAGUGUCAGACUUUAUUUUUCUGGGCUCCAAAAUCACUGCAGAUGGUGACUGCAGCCAUGAAAUUAAAAGAUGCUUACUCCAUGGAAGGAAAGUUGUGACCAACCUAGGUAGCAUAUUCAAAAGCAGGGACAUUACUUUGCCAACAAAGGUUCAUCUAGUCAAGGCUAUGGUUUUUCCUGUGGUUAUGUAUGGAUGUGAGAGUUGGACUGUGAAGAAGGCUGAGCGCCAAAGAAUUGAUGCUUUUGAACUGUGGUGUUGGAGAAGAGUCUUGAGAGUCCCUUGGACUGCAAGGAGAUCCAACCAGUCCAUCCUGAAGGAGAUCAGCCCUGGGAUUUCUUUGGAAGGAAUGAUGCUAAAGCUGAAACUCCAGUACUUUGGCCACCUCAUGCGAAGAGUUGACUCAUUGGAAAAGACUCUGAUGCUGAGAG
ensembl:lncRNA